rnacentral:rRNA from 1 species
CCUUGCCAGCCCGCUCAGAAACUCAAAGGAAGUUGACGGGGCCCGCACAAGCGGUGGAGCAUGUGGUUAAUUCGAUGAUACGCGAGGAACCUUACCUGGGCUCAAAUGUAUGUUGACGUAUCUGAAAGGGAUACUUCUUCGGACAAUAUACAAGGUGCUGCAUGGUUGUCGUCAGCUCGUGCCGUGAGGUGUCGGGUUAAGUCCCAUAACGAGCGCAACCCCUAUCAUUAGUUGCCAUCAGGUCAAGCUGGGGACUCUAAUGAAACUGCCUACGCAAGUAGUGAGGAAGGUGGGGAUGACGUCAAGUCAUCAUGGCCCUUACGGCCUGGGCUACACACGUGCUACAAUGGUCGGUACAAAGGGUUGCCAAGCCGCGAGGUGGAGCUAAUACCCAUAAAACCGAUCGUAGUCCGGAUCGCAGUCUGCAACUCGACUGCGUGAAGUCGGAAUCGCUAGUAAUCGUGAAUCAGAAUGUCACGGUGAAUACGUUCCCGGGCCUU